rnacentral:rRNA from 1 species
GACGAACGCUGGCGGCGUGCUUAACACAUGCAAGUCGAACGGAAAGGCCCUGCUUUUGUGGGGUGCUCGAGUGGCGAACGGGUGAGUAACACGUGAGUAACCUGCCCUUGACUUUGGGAUAACUUCAGGAAACUGGGGCUAAUACCGGAUAGGAGCUCCUGCUGCAUGGUGGGGGUUGGAAAGUUUCGGCGGUUGGGGAUGGACUCGCGGCUUAUCAGCUUGUUGGUGGGGUAGUGGCUUACCAAGGCUUUGACGGGUAGCCGGCCUGAGAGGGUGACCGGCCACAUUGGGACUGAGAUACGGCCCAGACUCCUACGGGAGGCAGCAGUGGGGAAUAUUGCACAAGGGGCGGAAGCCGAUGCAGCAACGCCGCGUGCGGGAUGACGGCCUUCGGGUUGUAAACCGCUUUCGCCUGUGACGAAGCGUGAGUGACGGUAAUGGGUAAAGAAGCACCGGCUAACUACGUG